AAGGAAUGAUGGAAAGAAGAAAAGCAGCAAAGAAGGAAAUAAAAUUUUAUUUUGGACUGAAGAAAAGGAGAAAUAUUUAAGGUGAUGCAUGAGGAAAGGUCAGAAUAGAAAUAGGAGAAUGGAGUAUGGGAUUGGAGCCAGACAUUACUAGAUAGACCAGCAUCAUGAACCCAUAUUCAAAGUGGAUGAGGAGAGGAACUUUCAGGUAAGGAUGAACAGCUAUUCCUGUGGGGAACUUUGUGAGAUGUGACAACACUUUGUGAAAGAUGCGACAUGUCUUGGUUUAUCUUUAAUUCCAGGAUGGCAAAGAAACAUGGCACGCCUUCAGCACUAUGAAUAUCCACAGAAACCUAGCCCUGUAUUCCUACUUGGAAGGUUCGUGACUUUGGGGAGAAUUGAAAACAUGCUCUUGACUUGGGCAUCAUCUGAGUCAUGGUCAGAUUUCCUGGAGGAUGCUGUGAUAAAGUCAGUUCCUGGUACCACAUUUUAACGAGGCAUAUUGAAGAAUUAGAGCACGUACAGAAGAAAGUGUUUAGGAUAAUGAGGGGUUCUGGAACUGGCGUCACUUGAAGACCAGCAGGAAAUCUCGAUGCUUAAUUGAGGAAAAAGAAGAACUGAUAGAGAUGGGAGAGAAUUGUCAUUUAGUCAUGUGGAGUUUAUUCUGUUUGGUUUCAGAGAGCAAAAGCAGAAUGAAAAUUACAAGCAGACCUCAACCAAGGUCUUAAUAAAGCAGAUCCUAAUAAUUUAAGACUUAAAAAGUGAAUAUUAGCAGUGAGUCCUAGUCCUGCUUGUCAUGGGUUGAGUCCCACUUGUAAUGAGAUGCUGUGAGGUUAGUCCUCUCCAUCAAUAAGACCUAUUGAUCUGUAUUCUCAUACUGCUCUGCAGAAGAUAAAGCAG
rnacentral:lncRNA from 9 species